rnacentral:lncRNA from 1 species
CCUCCCUUUUUUGGAAGUUAUCUGUAGGCAAGGCAUAUCUUCACAAACCCCCGCAUUCACACCUGAAAACUAAUAGUGUCUUUCUGGCCUUAGAAACUCCAUACUGCUCCACAAGGCUGCUCUGGCAGGGAGCAGUAAUCAGGCUUCUGCCCCAGGUGUGGAUAUUGGGCUAACACAUCUUCCUGGGUGUUUUUCUACUUCUUUGAAGGUCCUAACUCCAUGGGGGACCUCUAGGACAGCUUGCCAAUGGAAGCAGGUGGUCCUAAACACCAUUCCCCUAUUUAUCUUGCAAGAUCCUCUCCUGCAGUGCAGUGUCUGCAUCUCUUGUUUCAGCAGCUUAGUUCUUCCUAUCUAAGGCAACUUUCUCUUUUGUAGCUACCCUCCAAGCAUUUGUCAAGGACACGUUUGUUUUGAAACUUUAAAAGAAUGAAAUCUUUGUUGCUGAAAAGGCUUUGGCACGUGCCACACAAUUUCUUUCCAAGGAUUUUGUACUCUGUGUGGACUUUACUCUUUGUGGACUUUAUUCUUUGUGGCAACAAGACAAUUUUUCAAGACCUUGUUCCUUCACGCCAAAGCCCUGAUUUCACAAAAGCUUCUGGACUUACUCAGGGCAAUAUGUUCUCAGUGACUGAAAAGCCAGGUCCUCACAAGAGGAGAAGAAAAGAGCUGGAAGACAUUCCUGACCAAACCACUGCUCCACCCUUCCCCUGCCUGAAAUACCACAGGAGACAAACCCUGUGAGGGGAAAGAGAAACCCUGAGCAUCCUUGGGCACAAAACCCUCCUUGGGACUGUUCAUUGUAGAGGAUGGGGUUUUCUUGUGUGCAACAUGGAUAGCAAGCUCUGGAAAAGGACUGCCAUGAGUAUUGGCCCGACAGUGAUGCUCAAGGGUCACACAAAGCCUUCAAAAUCUCUGAGGAGCUCUUCCCAUGUCCAUUUACUUGUCGUAUCAUCACACACCACCAAAACAGCAGUGGGGAUGCUGCUCAUCAUCAUGAGAUCAGAGGCAGUCACCAUGGGCCAGUCACUUGGAGUUUGUCAUAACCAGUGCUGGUUGCACCAGGCACUGUCCUAGGAGGUCUCUUGGAAAAGGCUCUCUACUUUAAAAACCCAAUUUAGGCAUAACAAAACCUCAACUAUUUCCAUCUUACACCAGACUGGAUUAAUCCUUGGGGGAAAAAUACUUUGUAUAUAGACAAUAUAUAGAUAUCUUAUCUAUGCCUUCUGUGAGUGACUGCCUAAUUGCCCAGUGGGUACUGCUGGCAAUUUAUAAGCAUAUUAUGCAUGCUUCCCCAGCACUGAGGGCUUGCUUAAUACUGGAGAUCUCUUGAUUGUCAUCAAGAAAUAGAGAUGUCCAAGCUCCUUUUUUUCUGCCAGAGUCCCUCAGCCUCAGCCAACAAAAUAAUAUUUUAUUUGUGGUACGUAAAAAAAAAGACAAGCCGUGCACAGCUAAGGUAACAUUUGCACACAUGUAGAUGUGUCAGAUAGCUAGCUUUGCUUCAUUUUCUCCCACUUUCAGAAAUUAAACUUCUGGGAGGCAUUGGCAACUUGUACAUGACAUUUGACUUAAAAGGAAAAAAACAACACACUCAACAGUGAAUUUGAUUGCAGAAUGAUUAUUGUGUGACUCACCCCUUUUAGUGUAAUAAUGGAGAGUUUAUUAAGUAUGCACUUGGGCUCUGGGCUGCCCACCUACACUCAAUUUCCUCUGACUGUGGAAUGUCCUUUGGCAGCUUUGCAGCUAACCAAUACCCCAGAGUCUGAGGAAAACAUUACAACUUGUACGGUAUUAUUGGUCUAAAGGCUGUGGGUUCGUAUUUCAGCCAGCCAGCACAAGAUUACUUGUAAAACACAACCACACCUUUUAAGAGAAAAGAAUUCAUAGGACCAUGAUUGGAAAAUGUGUGCUCAGAUAAUAGAGAGAUGAAUACAUUAGAACUCCUAGAUAGGUAUCACAUCAAAAGGCAAUUUUUCCCUUUCUGCACCACGACAGUUUGGCUCACAAGUCAAGCAGCACGGCAGCUAAAAGAGGAGCCUGCCUGGAUACAGACCUGUGUUAGGUGACACACAAGUGUAGAGUGAAACACUGCUCCUUAAUUCAGCUACCAGGGUGCUGUGCCCUAAUGCACAUCCACCACCCUACCUCCUGCUACCAGUGAGCCUGUAGAAAUCCCUUGCUGGACAUUCAGCACAUUUCUUGUCAGAGCAAGUGGAGGCUGCUGUAACAGUUUUGUCCUUUACUUCUGGCAUCCUUUAGCUGGAUGUGUAUAAGCCAUCCUGGAGAAGAGACCUGUGCUUAGCCUGCUUAUGGCCCUCACAGUCAUUCAAAGUAAGCGUGACUGUUUGCAAACCAAUCACUUUUGGUUCACUGAGAUUUAUCUCAUACUUUUUAAUCAAUUCAGUCCUCCUACAUACAACUUUUCCUGGAGUCUCUUCUAAGGGAACUGAGGUAGUCCCCUCUGAAACAAGGGCUUCUCCUGUUGUGCCAGUCUGAUCCUGUUCUUAGCCUGUUCCAGACACAGCACAGACAUUAGCUCUAAAACCUGUUUUUCUUCAUCACUUAUGUAGUGAGAAGAAGGGGUAUUCUGCUUGACCUGCUGCAAAGCUAAGCACUUUGUCAAAAACAGCUCCAUACUUACUACCCGUAAGCCCUAAGAAGAUUUCUUCAGCAAUGACACCAGUCCCCUGUGUUUUGUCAGAAUAGAGGACCCAAAAGAGAGGUGGUCUUUAUUUCAGUGGAAGCUGGACUGGCCUGAACUGAGUAGCAUCUAGUAAAAUCCCAAGUAACAUCAUUUCAGAAAGGACACAGUAAAAUAUCAGCAUGAAGGAUCCCAAACUAGGGACAUUGCAGGGACAGAACAACCCAUGUGCAGCAGAGCACUACAGCAGAGUACUUUAGCACUGGGUAGUCUGAAGCAGCAGGCCCGUAACAACCAGCAACCACAAACACAUUCUGUGGCUUAUUGUAUCUUAAGGAAAAACAAAGGUUCACUUCCAACUUUGGGCAUGCUGAAUGAUUCUACAUUUAGAUAGACAUUGGGCCUCUCACCUCCCACUUAAACAUUCAAAAUAAAAGCUCAGUUAUUUAUUUUAUUUUUAAAAUA